rnacentral:misc_RNA from 1 species
UCUGGCUUGUCAAGUGUUUG